rnacentral:rRNA from 1 species
AGGACGAACGCUGGCGGCGUGCUUAACACAUGCAAGUCGAGCGGAAAGGCCCUUCGGGGUACUCGAGCGGCGAACGGGUGAGUAACACGUGAGUAACCUGCCCCCUAGCUCUGGGAUAGCUCCGGGAAACCGGGAUUAAUACCAGAUACGACCACUUUUAGACAUCUGUCGUGGUGGAAAGGAUUCCGGCUAGGGAUGGGCUCGCGGCCUAUCAGCUUGUUGGUGGGGUAACGGCCUACCAAGGCGACGACGGGUA